ACUCAAAUGAAUAGACGGGGGCCCGCACAAGCAGCGGAGCGUGUGGUUUAAUUCGAUGCAACGCGAAGAACCUCACCUAGGCUUGACAUGGCCGCAGUAGCGACCCGAAAGGGGAGCGACCAGGUAGUCUGGAACGGUCACAGGUGCUGCAUGGCUGUCGUCAGCUCGUGCCGUGAGGUGUUGGGUUAAGUCCCGCAACGAGCGCAACCCUCGGCGUUAGUUACCAUGUCUAACGCGACUGCCGGUUUCAAACCGGAGGAAGGUGGGGAUGACGUCAAGUCAGCACGGCCCUUACGCCUAGGGCUACACACACGCUACAAUGGCCGGUACAACGGGACGCCAAGGGGUGACCCGGAGCAAAUCCCAUCAAAGCCGGUCUCAGUUGGGAUUGCAGGCUGCAACUCGCCUGCAUGAACGCGGAGUUGCUAGUAACCGCAGGUCAGCACACUGCGGUGAAUACGUUCCCGGGCCUUGUACACACCGCCCGU
rnacentral:rRNA from 1 species